GAGUUUGAUCAUGGCUCAGAUUGAACGCUGGCGGCAGGCCUAACACAUGCAAGUCGAGCGGAUGACGGGAGCUUGCUCCUUGAUUCAGCGGCGGACGGGUGAGUAAUGCCUAGGAAUCUGCCUGGUAGUGGGGGACAACGUUUCGAAAGGAACGCUAAUACCGCAUACGUCCUACGGGAGAAAGCAGGGGACCUUCGGGCCUUGCGCUAUCAGAUGAGCCUAGGUCGGAUUAGCUAGUUGGUGGGGUAAUGGCUCACCAAGGCGACGAUCCGUAACUGGUCUGAGAGGAUGAUCAGUCACACUGGAACUGAGACACGGUCCAGACUCCUACGGGAGGCAGCAGUGGGGAAUAUUGGACAAUGGGCGAAAGCCCGAUCCAGCCAUGCCGCGUGUGUGAAGAAGGUCUUCGGAUUGUAAAGCACUUUAAGUUGGGAGGAAGGGCAGUAAGUUAAUACCUUGCUGUUUUGACGUUACCGACAGAAUAAGCACCGGCUAACUCUGUGCCAGCCG
rnacentral:rRNA from 1 species